rnacentral:rRNA from 1 species
UCGAGCGCAGGAAACCAGAUGACCCCUUCGGGGUGAUUCUGGUGGAAUGAGCGGCGGACGGGUGAGUAACACGUGGGCAACCUGCCUGUAAGACUGGGAUAACUUCGGGAAACCGGAGCUAAUACCGGAUAGUAUUUCCUUUCUCCUGAUUGGAAAUGGAAAGACGGUUUCGGCUGUCACUUACAGAUGGGCCCGCGGUGCAUUAGCUAGUUGGUGGGGUAAUGGCCCACCAAGGCGACGAUGCAUAGCCGACCUGAGAGGGUGAUCGGCCACACUGGGACUGAGACACGGCCCAGACUCCUACGGGAGGCAGCAGUAGGGAAUCUUCCGCAAUGGACGAAAGUCUGACGGAGCAACGCCGCGUGAGCGAUGAAGGCCUUCGGGUCGUAAAGCUCUGUUGUUAGGGAAGAACAAGUACGAGAGUAACUGCUCGUACCUUGACGGUACCUAACCAGAAAGCCCCGGCUAACUACGUGCCAGCAGCCGCGGUAAUACGUAGGGGGCAAGCGUUGUCCGGAAUUAUUGGGCGUAAAGGGCUCGUAGGCGGUUUCUUAAGUCUGAUGUGAAAGCCCACAGCUCAACUGUGGAGGGUCAUUGGAAACUGGGGAACUUGAGUGCAGAAGAGGAGAGUGGAAUUCCACGUGUAGCGGUGAAAUGCGUAGAUAUGUGGAGGAACACCAGUGGCGAAGGCGACUCUCUGGUCUGUAACUGACGCUGA